rnacentral:rRNA from 1 species
ACAGGGUGACAGGUGGUGCAUGGUUGUCGUCAGCUCGUGUCGUGAGAUGUUGGGUUAAGUCCCGCAACGAGCGCAACCCUCGACCUUAGUUGCCAGCAUUCAGUUGGGCACUCUAAGGUGACUGCCGGCUAAAAGUCGGAGGAAGGUGGGGAUGACGUCAAAUCAUCAUGCCCCUUAUGACCUGGGCUACACACGUGCUACAAUGGGCGGUACAAAGGGUCGCGAACCCGCGAGGGGGGAGCCAAUCCCAAAAAGCCGCUCUCAGUUCGGAUUGCAGGCUGCAACUCGCCUGCAUGAAGUCGGAAUCGCUAGUAAUCGCAGGUCAGCAUACUGCGGUGAAUACGUUCCCGGGCCUU